AUUGAACGCUGGCGGCAGGCCUAACACAUGCAAGUCGAGCGGAGCGGCUGACGGGUGAGUAAUGCCUAGGAAUCUGCCUUGUAGUGCUGGAUAACGUCCGGAUACGGGAGCUGAUACCGCAUCCUAUCAGAUGAGCCUAGGUCGGAUUAGCUCGUUGGGGGGGUAAAGGGCUUCCAAGGCGACGAUCCGUAACUGGUCUGAGAGGAUGAUCAGUCACACUGGAACUGAGACACGGUACAGACGCCUAAGGGAGGCAGGAGAGGGGAAUAUUGGGGAAUGGGCGAAAGCCGGAUCCAGCCAUGCCGGCGGUGUCAAGAAGGUGUUCAGGUUUUAAAGCACUUAAAGUUGGGAGGGGGUACCAACAGAAUAAGCACCGGCUAACUACGUGCCAGCAGCCGCGGUAAUUC
rnacentral:rRNA from 1 species